rnacentral:rRNA from 1 species
CUACGGGCGGCUCCAGUGAGGAAUAUUGCGCAAUGGACGAAAGUCUGACGCAGCCAUGCCGCGUGCAGGAUGACGGCGCUAUGCGUUGUAAACUGCUUUUAUAUGCCAAGAAACCUUCGGACGUGUCCGAAGCUGACGGUAGCAUAUGAAUAAGCACCGGCUAACUCCGUGCCAGCAGCCGCGGUGAAUACGGAGGGUGCAAGCGUUAUCCGGAUUUAUUGGGUUUAAAGGGUCCGUAGGCGGAUCAUUAAGUCAGUGGUGAAAGCCGGCAGCUCAACUGUCGAACUGCCAUUGAUACUGGUGAUCUUGAAUACGGUUGAAGUUGGCGGAAUAGGUCAUGUAGCGGUGAAAUGCUUAGAUAUGACCUAGAACACCGAUUGCGAAGGCAGCCAACUAAGCCGUUAUUGACGCUGAGGGACGAAAGCGUGGGGAGCGAACAGGAUUAGAUACCCGCGUAGUC